rnacentral:rRNA from 1 species
UUCACUCUAGCGAGACUGCCGUUGACAAAACGGAGGAAGGCGGGGACGACGUCAAAUCAUCAUGCCCCUUAUGUCCUGGGCUACACACGUAAUACAAUGGCGGUCAACAGAGGGAAGCAAAGCCGCGAGGCAGAGCAAACCCCUAAAAGCCGUCUCAGUUCGGAUUGCAGGCUGCAACUCGCCUGCAUGAAGUUGGAAUUGCUAGUAAUCGUGGAUCAGCAUGCCACGGUGAAUACGUUCCCGGGCCUUGUACACACCGCCCGUCACACCAUGAGAGUCGGGAACACCCGAAGUCCGUAGUCUAACCGCAAGGAGGGCGCGGCCGAAGGUGGGCCUGAUAAUUGGGGUGAAGUCGUAACAAGGGUAACCGUAA